GGGGCUGGCGGCAGGCCAACCAUGGCAGUCGAGCGGUAGAGAGAAGCUUGCUUCUCUUGAGAGCGGCGGACGGGUGAGUAAUGCCUAGGAAUCUGCCUGGUAGUGGGGGAUAACGCUCGGAAACGGACGCUAAUACCGCAUACGUCCUACGGGAGAAAGCAGGGGACCUUCGGGCCUUGCGCUAUCAGAUGAGCCUAGGUCGGAUUAGCUAGUUGGUGAGGUAAUGGCUCACCAAGGCGACGAUCCGUAACUGGUCUGAGAGGAUGAUCAGUCACACUGGAACUGAGACACGGUCCAGACUCCUACGGGAGGCAGCAGUGGGGAAUAUUGGACAAUGGGCGAAAGCCUGAUCCAGCCAUGCCGCGUGUGUGAAGAAGGUCUUCGGAUUGUAAAGCACUUUAAGUUGGGAGGAAGGGCAUUAACCUAAUACGUUAGUGUUUUGACGUUACCGACAGAAUAAGCACCGGCUAACUCUGUGCCAGCAGCCGCGGUAAUACAGAGGGUGCAAGCGUUAAUCGGAAUUACUGGGCGUAAAGCGCGCGUAGGUGGUUCGUUAAGUUGGAUGUGAAAUCCCCGGGCUCAACCUGGGAACUGCAUUCAAAACUGUCGAGCUAGAGUAUGGUAGAGGGUGGUGGAAUUUCCUGUGUAGCGGUGAAAUGCGUAGAUAUAGGAAGGAACACCAGUGGCGAAGGCGACCACCUGGACUGAUACUGACACUGAGGUGCGAAAGCGUGGGGAGCAAACAGGAUUAGAUACCCUGGUAGUCCACGCCGUAAACGAUGUCAACUAGCCGUUGGGAGCCUUGAGCUCUUAGUGGCGCAGCUAACGCAUUAAGUUGACCGCCUGGGGAGUACGGCCGCAAGGUUAAAACUCAAAUGAAUUGACGGGGGCCCGCACAAGCGGUGGAGCAUGUGGUUUAAUUCGAAGCAACGCGAAGAACCUUACCAGGCCUUGACAUCCAAUGAACUUUCCAGAGAUGGAUUGGUGCCUUCGGGAACAUUGAGACAGGUGCUGCAUGGCUGUCGUCAGCUCGUGUCCUGAGAUGUUGGGGUAAGUCCCCUAACGAGCGCAACCCUUGUCCUUAGUUACCACCCCCUUAAUGGGGGGGCCUUCUAAGGGAAACUUCCGGGGGACAAACCCGGAGGAAGGGUGGGGGAGGAAACCCCAAAACAUUCUUGGGCCCCUUAAGGGGGGGGGGGAACCCCCGGGCUACAAAGGGUGGGUCAAAAAGGGGUUCCCCAACCCCCCCGGGGUGGGGC
rnacentral:rRNA from 1 species